ACAGAGCCUUCUGCAGCUCUGGGCCCUGAGAACGGGAAUAUUUGUGGUUAGGGGGACCCCAAAACACAUCCCUGACCCCAAAAUCCCUCCCUGACCCACAGGGCCUGCUCCAGGGCCCGCUGCAGCUCCAGCUCCUGGGGAUGGGAAAAUUUGGGGUUAGGGGAACCCCAAAACACAUCCCAAACCCACAGCACCCUCAGUGAAUGCUCCAGGGCCCGCUGCAGCUCCGGCUCCUGGGGAUAGAACAUUUGGGGUUAGGGGGACCCCAAAACAUAUCCCCCAAACACAUCCCAAACCCACGGCACCCUCAGUGAAGGCUCCUGGUGAAGGAAACAUUUGAGGGGUCAGGGGCACCCCAAAAUCCCUACCAAACACACAAAGCCCACUGCAGCUCCAGCUCCUGGCGAUGGGAAAAUUUGGGGGUCAGAGGCACCCCAAAACCCUUCCCAUAACACCAGGGCCUGCUCCACAGCCCACUGCAGCUCAGGCCCCUGGCAAUGGGAACACUGGGGGGUUAGGGGGACCCCAAAACACAUCCUAUACCCCAAAACCCUUCCCACACCCACAGCACACACUGCAGCACUGGCUGCUGGAAACACCACGUUUUGGGGGCUCAGGGGAACCCCAAUACCCUUCCCAUAACACCCGGGCCCGCUGCAGCUCUGGCUCCUGGGGAUGGAACAUUUGGGGGUCAGGGAAACCCCAAAACCCUUCUGACACCCCAAAACCCUUCCCACAACAAUAGGGCCUGCUCCAGGGCCUGCUGCAGCUCCGGCUCCUGGGAAUGGAACAUUGUGGGGUUAGGGGAACCCCAAAACACAUCCCAAACCCACAGCACGCACAGGGCUCACUCCAGGGCCCGCUGCAGCUCUGGCUCCUGGGGAUAGAACAUUGGGGGUCAGGGGGACCCCAAAACACAUCCCAAACCCCAAAAUCCCUCCCUGACCCUCACUGAAUGCUCCAGGGCCCACUGCAGCUCCAGCUCCUGGGGAUGGGAACAGAACAUUGGGGGUCAGGGGCACCCCAAACCCCAAAAUCCCUCCCAGACCUGCAGGGUCCGCUCCAGGGCCCACUGCAGCUCUGGCUCCUGGGGAUGGGAAUAUUUGGGUGGUCAGGGGGACCCCAAAAUCCCUCCCAAACACACAGCACACACUGUAGCUCCAGCUGCUGGGAACAGGCACAUUUGGGGGAUCAGGGGGACCCCCAAAACUCUUCCCACACAACAAAGCCCUUCCCACAACAGCAGGGCCUGCUCCAGGGCCUGCUGCAGCUCCGGCUCCUGGGGAUGGAAUAUUUGAGGGGUCAGGGUCACCCCAAAAUCUCUCCCAAACACACAGUGACUUCUCCAGAGCCCGCUGCAGGCCUGGCUCCCGGGGAUGGGAACACUGGGGGGUCAGGGGGACCCCAAAACACAUCCCAAACCUCAAAACUCUUCCUGGAGCCACAGCGCCCGCUGCAGGGCCCGCUGCAGCUCCGGCACCUCGGAAUGGGAAUAUUUGGGGGGUCAGGGGGUCCCCAAAUCCCUUCUGAACCCACUGCAGUUCCAGAUGCUGGCAAUGGCACAUUUGAGGGUCACAGGGGACCCCAAAACCUCUCCUGUACCCACAGCCCCUCCAGCUCCUCACACAUUUGGGGUUUGGGAGGGUCUGAGGGA
ensembl:lncRNA